UUCCAGGCUAGGGGUCGAACUGGAGCUGCAGCUGCAGGCCUAUGCCACAGCCACCGCAACACUAGAUCUGAGCUACAUCUGUGACCUACGCCACAGCUUGUGGCAACGCUGGAUCCUUAAUCUACUGAGUGAGGCCAGGGAUAGAACCCAUAACCUCACAGAGACAACAGUGGGUCCUUAACCCACUGAGCCAUAGGAGGAACUCCUGAAUAGAAUUUAAUUAAAAUGUAACUUUCAAAUUUACCUCUAAGAAGGAAUUCUACUUACUGAAGGGCUCCUCUUCCCUAGAGCAUAAUGCUUAGAGAAGCUGUAUUUGGAAUAAACUGAGUCACUCAUCAUUCAUUUCACUAUCAUCCCAAUCACCCUUUGCCCAGAGUAGAAGAUGCAGAAAUGACUAAGAGGCAAUCACUGCCCAGACUGGUGGAGGAAUAAUGCAACUCCCAUCCUUAAAACUGAUGGUGGUGGUGGAACGUGCGCCUUCGCAGCCAAAUGUUGCUGCUGCCUUCUGUUGAGGAAGCUGGUCACACAGCUCCACCUGCCUCCUCUCUGGAACUCCGCAGGGACUGCAAAGAUGCUGUCUUCCCAGCCCUGUGCAACCCUCCAACUUGAUGAAGACCACAUACACCCCUGAAAGGGGAACCAGCCAUCUGUGAGCUCAAGACUGACUCCAAGAGGGACAGAGACACCCAGACAGCAACUAGGAAGAUUAGACAGAAGCUGAAAAUUCACAAUUUCCAAUUACUCAGAAUUGUUUUGUGAUCAGGACUGUGUUACUAGGACACAUUGCUUGUACUUUGGUGUGUCACCUUUGAAUCAAUUAUUUCUUUCCUUAUUUAUUAAUGUAAUCAACAAAUCAAUAGAAAAAGGUGAUUUUCAUAAGAAUUUAUGAAAUUCACAGGCAAUUUUCAUAACAAAUACAAAUGCCCAAUAAAUAUAAGAAAAAAUCCUCCUCAACUUGAUUGACGGUCAAAAAUAAAUAUUAAAUGAAUGAGAUGAAAAAUUCCCCUUAGAUUGUCAAACGCCAAAAAAAAUUUAUAUGACAAAUGAAGUGAUACUGGACAUAUGUUGAACUACCUUAAGUCCUAAUAUGGAAAUUUAUGAUUGAAAUAAAAGCAACUCUUUUGAAAAUAAAAAGAUGAAACUGAAAUUUGCUUAGAUGGGCCAGUUUAAUUCGUGAAGUAAUUUCAAGAGGCAAGCUAAAAGAAUGGAUAUAUCGAUAUGUAUGACGGAUUCACUUUGCUGUGCACCUCAAACUAGUACAUUAUAAGUCAACUAUACCCCAAUAAAAUUAAUGUAAGAUUCUAAAUCACAAUUUAAAUAGAAGCAUAUGAAAAUCAUGGAUGCUGUUGAUAUUGACUUUAUUUGCUAGUAAUUAGAACUGAGAAUACAAUGGCCUUAUUUCUACCUACCUCUGUCCCUCUGUUUUAUCUACUUUUUAGCCCCAUCCCUCUUCCAAUCACUGUGACUAGACCAUGUCUUACACUGAUAGGCAGGUGGAAGACGGGCCAGGGCUUUAAAAGGUGUCUUCGUCUUUCAGUUUUUCUCAGUAUUAUUAUCUCUCUUUCAUCGUUAACUUAUUAUUGAUAGGAUUUCCAUAAUUCUUUUUUUUUUUUUGGCUGCACCCACAACAUAUGGAAGUUCCCAGGCCGGAGAUCAAAUCCCAGCCACAGUUGCAACCUAUGCCACAGCUGCCCCACGCUGCCACAGAGACAACACCAGAUCCUUAACCUGCUGCACCACAGCAGAAAGUUCCUUAAUAUUUUCUUAAUAAUUACCCGAUAUACCAACAUCACUUCCUCCUUCCAUAAUAAUCUCAAGUACAUCUUUUUCAUUUCAGAGUGUCCUGGUCAGAGGACAUUUAAUAAAUGGUAAGCAAUUCUGCUGCCAUAAGAAUAUGGAUGGAGUUAAAUUUAGCGGGAAACAGAAGCUAGAGAAUUAACAGCAAAGUUGAACUUGCUAGUCAUAAUUUUCAGUCACGCUAGCCUAAAGGGAAGGGUGACAUCGUCCCCUGAAACUGUCUUGGAAGCAGCUAUUCUGUUCACACAGCACCCCCCACUGGCCACUGAGGAAAGUUCACCUCCAAUGCACAAAUAAAUUAAAUUUUGACUCUGCUGGCCUACCAACUAAAUCUCAUUUCUCACAGGUGUGCAAUUCAAGAAGAUGCAUGGCCUUCUUUUUCCCCACCAUUCAUGUUGGCUUCAGCUGAAACAUGAGUACUUUAAAAGAGGAGUAAUAAUAGGAUCAUUUCAGGGCAAGGUGAAUUAAAUGCCUAAUUCCAUUCAGUCCUCCCAAAGAUGUUUAAUAUUUGAUACAAAGUAGAAGCAAGUAACAUUUAUUUUAUAAAUGAACAAUAACAAAGAGUUGUUAUCACUGACUUUCUUUUUCAGAAGCCUUGGCAAGCUUAAGCAGUAACUCAUCACAGGCUUCAAAGCAAGUAAAUGGCAGACCAGAGCUGAACUCCGUCUAACUCCAGAGGUCACACUUAAUGACUACCUCAUGCUUCACUCUUUACUAAAUUAUUAACUAAGUUUAUAUACAUAUAAUUACAUAAUUGAAUAAACCUAUGUUUAUUAAAAUAAAUUUUCAGCAUUAAAAAAAAAAAACACCUAUUGGAAAAGAGUUUCAAAGCCUAACAUAACAGGUGAGGUUUUAAAAAAGCUGACAUAGAUUUUGCUGAACUUCAACACAGCACAGGCUGUUUCCUGAGCAACUUAUACAAAGGCAACUCCAAGGACAUUCUAAUUGCAAUGGGGCCUAUGCCACAUGAUGUCAAUUACAAACAGAAGUUAAACAACAGAAUGGGGCCAGUUUGGAGCCUCUAGCACAGGCUGGAUGUAACCACCCUCCUCUUCCAAUUAAGAGUGUGUUACAGAUUCGGUAUGGAUAAGGAUGUGAUGGGGCUGGAGAGGAGACUUUCAUUUUUGUGGACCUAAAUUAAAACAGACUUUUAAAAAUGUGUGUUUGUAUGUGUGUGUACGUAUGUGUGUAUGUGUACAGGAUAAGGGUGAUCAUAUUCAUCUGAGAGAGUCAUUAAAGAAGAUUCCAGAGGUGGGUGGAAUUUAUAUCCUAGGUUUGGAUAAGAGAAUUUUCCCGCUCACAUUAACAGCACUCUAUUGGUAAUGCCUGCCAGAGCCCAGGGUCAGGAAGGAUUCUGAGUUCUACAGAGAAAGUAUGCUGUGCCAAUUAACAAUGUCUGCCCUGGCAUGGGACCCGAGAGGCACAUUUACUGUGAAUUUAAUCAAGAUUAAAACACUCCUGGGGCUGCCAUAUCUGUUCAUUAUCACAGAGGCACCUCAGAGCUACCAACCAGGAGUGAGAAGAUCACACAGCAGAUGGAGUUCCUGGGUGGUCUACUGUGAUAACAUAAGGCCAUAGACGCUUUUGGGAGCCAAGAUGACAGAAAGGCCACCUGGCUGAGAAACAGGAAGAAAAAAGGCAAGCGAUAUGGCUGAGGACCUGUACUCCAUACUGGCCCAGAAUUUAGCAGACUUGCUGUUUUUCUGGCUCAGCCUCAUGGAUUUGGGAAAUAUGACUAUGCAUAGGGCUCAUUAAUUUUCUUAUUUCUUUCCUUCAUUCCUUUGAAAAGUUUUUUAGCAAAGUCUGCUUAGAAAUGCCAACCUGUCUCAGAUAUGCUGAAGGAAAAUCAAGUUUUGGUCAGUGUUUAAAUCAGAAUGUAAAAGGGGGAAGAAGCGCCUCCCGGUGGUAGAUUUGGAAAAUUCUCAGGACAAGAUUUCCCAAGUGUUCCUGGAAGCAUUAACUGUUCAUGACUUUCCGUGGG
rnacentral:lncRNA from 1 species